rnacentral:rRNA from 1 species
AGAGUUUGAUCAUGGCUCAGGAUGAACGCUGGCGGCGUGCCUAAUACAUGCAAGUCGAACGAAGCACCUCGGUGCUUAGUGGCGAACGGGUGAGUAACACGUGGGUAACCUGCCCUCAAGACGAGGAUAACCGUUGGAAACGAUGGCUAAGACUGGAUAGGAAUACGGGAGGCAUCUUCUGUAUUUUAAAAGACCUGGCAACAGGUAUGCUUGAGGAGGGGCCUGCGGCGCAUUAGUUAGUUGGUGAGGUGAUGGCUCACCAAGACGAUGAUGCGUAGCCGGACUGAGAGGUUGAACGGCCACAUUGGGACUGAGAGACGGCCCAAACUCCUACGGGAGGCAGCAGUAGGGAAUUUUCGGCAAUGGGGGAAACCCUGACCGAGCAACGCCGCGUGAACGACGAAGUACUUCGGUAUGUAAAGUUCUUUUAAGAGGGAAGAAUGGCCCGUGGAAAAGCGGGCGUGACGGUACCUUUUGAAUAAGCCCCGGCUAACUAUGUGCCAGCAGCCGCGGUAAUACAUAGGGGGCAAGCGUUAUCCGGAAUUAUUGGGCGUAAAGGGUGCGUAGGUGGCCAUUUAAGUCUUUGGUGUAAGUUCAGCGCUCAACGCUGUGAUGCUAAAGAAACUGGGUGGCUUGAGUGUGGUAGAGGCAAGUGGAAUUCCAUGUGUAGCGGUAAAAUGCGUAAAUAUAUGGAGGAACACCGGUGGCGAAGGCGGCUUGCUGGGCCACAACUGACACUGAAGCACGAAAGCGUGGGGAGCAAACAGGAUUAGAUACCCUGGUAGUCCAUGCCGUAAACGAUGAGUACUAAGUGUAGGGGAAACUCUGUGCUGUAGUUAACGCAAUAAGUACUCCGCCUGAGUAGUACGUACGCAAGUAUGAAACUCAAAUGAAUUGACGG